GAUGAACGCUGGCGGCGUGCCUAACACAUGCAAGUCGAACGGAGAUUACGGACGGAAGUUUUCGGAUGGAAGCCUGUAAUUCUUAGUGGCGGACGGGUGAGUAACGCGUGGGCAACCUGCCCUAUACAGGGGGAUAGCAGCUGGAAACGGCUGGUAAGACCGCAUAAGUCGGUUAAAUCGCAUGAUUUGAUCGGGAAAUGAGCAAUCAGGUAUAGGAUGGGCCCGCGUCCGCUUAGCCAGUUGGCAGGGUAAAAGCCUACCAAAGCGACGAUCGGUAGCCGGACUGAGAGGUCGGACGGCCACAUUGGGACUGAGACACGGCCCAAACUCCUACGGGAGGCAGCAGUGGGGGAUAUUGCACAAUGGAGGAAACUCUGAUGCAGCGACGCCGCGUGAGUGAAGAAGUAUUUCGGUAUGUAAAGCUCUAUCAGCAGGGAAGAUGAUGACGGUACCUGACUAAGAAGCCCCGGCUAACUACGUG
rnacentral:rRNA from 1 species